AUUGAACGCUGGCGGCAGGCCUAACACAUGCAAGUCGAACGGUAACAGGAAGCAGCUUGCUGCUUCGCUGACGAGUGGCGGACGGGUGAGUAAUGUCUGGGAAGCUGCCUGAGGGAGGGGGAUAACUACUGGAAACGGUAGCUAAUACCGCAUAAUGUCGCAAGACCAAAGAGGGGGACCUUCGGGCCUCUUGCCAUCGGCUGUGCCCAGAUGGGAUUAGCUUGUUGGUGGGGUAACGGCUCACCAAGGCGACGAUCCCUAGCUGGUCUGAGAGGAUGAACAGCCACACUGGAACUGAGACACGGUCCAGACUCCUACGGGAGGCAGCAGCGGGGAAUAUUGCACAAUGGGCGCAAGCCUGAUGCAGCCAUGCCGCGUGUAUGAAGAAGGCCUUCGGGUUGUAAAGUACUUUCAGCGGGGAGGAAGGGAGUAAAGUUAAUACCUUUGCUCAUUGACGUUACCCGCAGAAGAAGCACCGGCUAACUCCGUG
rnacentral:rRNA from 1 species